GGUAGGUCUACGACUCUCUUGUACUGGAGAUUUGUCCAGUCCGCAAACUUCUGUCAACAACGUUAACGUCCGCCAAAGUCUUCAAGCAAAGAUGAAGGUCAUACUACUCCUGUUAUAUGCUUACCUGGCCCAGCAGGAGAUCUACCAGGCCUCUGCGGACACCCAGUUUUUGGAUGGCGCCCAAAGGCGAGUAGCGAGGCAGGUGGUGGAGCCGCCAGGUGAAGGGGAGUUCUGCGUCCGCUCUGAUCUUGAGCCGUCUUGGAUUAGCAAUGGGAAAUGCUGCAAGUGUAGGAAGACCAAGGUGAAGUGCAAGGAACUGAAAGAUUGCAAACCAGCCCCUGAGGAUACUACCUUCUGUUACUCUAACCAAGUCUGUGGCUGUGAAAGGUGGGUGUGUCGCUUUCAAAAUAAGAUCAGACGCUUCCUGGAGUUCAACGGAGGAAGUUUUGGCUGUGAUGCAGAAGCUGCCUGAUGACUUGGUUGGAGGAUGAUGGACUGACGAGAAGUUGAGGUGAUUGUGGACGUGGGUAGAGGCAAUGACUAAUAUAACUCUACUGUACCUUUAAAGGGAUCACCCGAAUAAUCGCUUCCUCAGCUCAUUUUAACCUGAAAAUUAACCAACCUAGCAUAACAUAACCUAACCUAAAUUAUCAUAGCCUAACUCAACCUAAACUAACCUAAAUUAGCAUAACCAAACUUAACCUAACUUAGACUAACCACUUUCCCAGGUAGUAUAAAGGUGGUUAAUAUCCAGGUGAAAAAACAAAAAACAAAAUAUGCUUGGCACCGAAAAUUCAGUUGAUCCCCUGUACUCUAUCUUGUAUUUACGGUUUAUUUAGGCAUAUUAUUACACCUACAGAUGUAUCGAUAUAUGUGAAUGAACAAUUUCUUGAUCUAUUGUAAUUAAAAAAACAAAAAAUGAUGUCAUGAUAGAAAUAGUAUGAUAUUUAAGUACAUGUCAAAGCUAAAUAUUCAUUUAUUGGUGAACAGAGAUGUAUUCAACGUGUUUCAAAUUCAUACACAUGUAUGAAGUAUGCAUAAAGUCGUGUUGGUCCUCGAUAGUGUCUCGGUUUCGAUAUCAAGUUCCUCUCUCGGUGAUCUCAAGUCUCGACUACAAUACUGAACCUCAGAUUUGAUAUUGUUUAACAGCAGACCGUCUUUCAGUAUUUUGAGUUGUUUGGCAAUAUUUUCAGUUGUUUGGCAAUAUUUUCAUUUGUUUGGCAAUAUUUUCAGUUGUUUGGCAAUAUUUUCAGUUGUGUGGCAAUAUUUUCAGUUGUUUAGCAAUAUUAUCAGUGGUUUGGCAAUAUUAUCAGUUGUGUGGCAAUAUUUUCAGUUGUUUGGCAAUAUUAUCAGUUGUGUGGUAAUAUUUUCAGUUGUUUGGCAAUACUGUAUUAUCAGUUGUGUGGUAAUAUUUUCAGUUGUGUGGCAAUAUUUUCAGUUGUUUGGCAAUACUGUAUUAUCAGUUGUUUAGCAAUAUUAUCAGUUCUGUGGUAAUAUUUUCAGUUGUUUGGCAAUAUUUUCAGUUGUGGCAAUAUUUUCAGUUGUUUAGCAAUAUUUUCAGUUGUUUGGCAAUAUUUUCAGUUGUUUGGCAAUAUUUGUAUUUGUUUGGCAAUAUUUUAAUUUGUUUGGCAGUGUUUACAGUUGUUUGGCAGUAAUUAUAGAUGUUUGUUAUGAUCAGUUAUUCUGGUCACGGCGUCUUUGUCCUCAGGUUGUCUUCAUAAAGUACUGUACAGUCGGGUACAAAAGUUCCCUACCCUGUGGUGAAACUUGAGGCACGGGAGCAAACUUCUGAACCAAACUGUACAUAAUUUACGUAUAUCAGUUAGCCAUCCAUCGUAUAUAAUUCCUCGAUAUAAUACUGAUGUUAUAUUUUUAAAGAAAGAAAGAAUGAACGAUCGGUUAUAACGGCUACAGAACGUUCGGUUAUGAAAUUAUAUAAAGGUAUCCUGCUGUGAAUCAUUAGCUGAUAGAAACGAUGUGAAUACUAACACAAAUGAACUCUCUUAACACCGCCUUGAACGUUAACACAGUUGCUUUGCCUUUUUGUGCCCAACUUCAAGGUGACUUACUUUUCACUGUUACUUUUAGUUUGUUUUACUUUUGGGUGUUAAUUUUAGCUCUUACUUUUAGGUCUUACUUUACAUGUAGGUGCUUUAUUUUUUUGGUCGUACCUUUAGGUUUAACUUUUUGAGGUCUUUAUUUUAGGUUUAUUUCUUUUAGGUCUUACUUUUGGGUCUCGUAAACCAUCAGAAAACCCCUCACAAAAUACACCUUGGGAUGACAUAAUAAAUACGUGCAGUAUGGUCUAAGUACAGUACUUCUUAGCUUAUUUAACAGGAUAGAUAGAUAGAUAGGUGGAUAGAUAAAGAUAUCAAUAUUUAUUCAGUAAAAUCAUUAUACGUACAAGUUUACAUUAAAUCAACAUUUAUAGUGACAGUGCAGGUAUACAAACAAUUUAUACAAACAACAUACAAUAGACAGUGAGUGUAGGUAUACAAACAACGUACGUACAGUAGACAGUGCAGAUAUACAAAGAUUGGUAAAGUGUAGUCGAGUUCACCAAGGAUAAGCAACAAAACCAUCCAGUACUCUCAAUGGCAUAGUUACUGGUCUUAAAAUAACAUGGGAUUGUACUGGAUGUCAGAGUAUUCACGUGGUUUUCUCACCAGCCUUCCUACUGUAGUACACAUGUGGUAGAAGUUGAGAGAAUCGAUCAUCAUAACUGCAGGAUUUAACAACAUUUGCUCCCAAUAUGACAUCCAUUAGAUCAUAAUGUAUUGGUCUUUGAAUAGUAGACCCAAGACGAGUACUGUAGGAUUGAGUAAAACACUAAGGAGAAUAUAAUUUUGUCAGAUAUAGUCAUGUCUGUUAUAAAAAUAGAUAGUACAUUAUAGAAAGAACCAGAUAGCAUACAUUAUAGAAAUAGUCGGAUAAGGUCGAACACCAUUCUAUAUAUAAACAACUUUAAUAAAUCAGUGUGACACAAACAAACAUGUAACAGAAAUUGGUCCAACACCUGGUAUAAAUGAGUCAAGAGUAAGGUGUAUUUUAGUGUGAACCGCUUCAGUUAUAUCAAGAGAGAGUGAGGUUAACAGAACUGCCUUGUGAUAUGUACUGUAUAAGUUCUCGUGUCAAUGUCUUGUAUAUAAGAGCAGUCAGUCUUGUAAUAAACUGAGAGUCAGAAGGUUUUAUUUAACUGAAAGAAGGUAAAUCAACUGAGUCAAAUACUUUAUUAUACUUGCUUGGAUUACAUGCAGAUUAGCCACCCCAGUUUAUUUCACUUAAUGAUUAAACACCCUAACGCUAACCUAACCUAACCCACCCCUUCCCCCAGGUAACGUUAAUGUUUAACUAUCAGGUGAAAUAAGCUAGAGGGGGUUAAUUUUCACGUGAACCUUUAGCUUAUUAAAUUCAAUGGCUGUACAAUUACCUGAAGGAGCGGGAGAAGCUCAUCAAGUGAACGACAAGAGCCGAGGAUUUUUACUGACUGUCUGUACUGGUUUUCAUUCCCAAGACCAACAGAAGGCGUCUACCUUCUUCACUCAACUCUACAACAAUGGUUCGCAAGAGAAUCGUCAAUACUAAAAGAAUUGAACAUUCAGUCAUUAGAAUAUGUUCAUUUUUUAAGCAUAUUUUUAAUAGCUUUCCGUUCUGUUCUGUCAGUAAGAUGCUGAGGAAAUACAACCAUGUGUAGCUGAAGUACUAUAAUCAGCGUGUGUGUGUGUGUGUGUGUGUGUGGAGGAUCAUCACAGAAGCCACGCUUUGUAGGUGAUUAAAGGUCUUUAUACAUCUUCAUUAUUAACAAUAAAGUUUAUUUACCUUGUUCUACUUAUAGUAAACAUUGGAUCAUGGUCACAGCAUAUAAACGUUGGACGUGGAUACCAUUUUAAAUUUUCUUGCUAAUUAUAAGCAACUGCAUAGGAACAGCUGUAUAUUUUGGCGAACUGUUAAGAAACGGUCGACUACAAGUGAAAAAAAAUCUCCUUGGGGAUAAUAACUGAACUGAUCAUUUAUGUUUUUCGUAAGAACAAGAGGGAUGUGCAGCAGACUGAGGCCAUUCAGUUGAUUGUGGGGGGUCGUCUGAGGGCUGGUGACCACGGCGGGCCUCCAGUCUAAAACGUUUACUUGCUGUCUGUACUAAUAUUUACAGGGUUUGUAUCUGUUUGGACCACAACUUUUAAUCUCGUUUACUUGGGUGGUACAGUAGAGUCUGAGUUUCUUACUUUUAGAUUGCAUGUGUAUGUUCAGCACCUGUACCUGUAGUCAUGAUAUGCGAGGCGCUCCGAGCAAGUAGUAAACAAACCAGAAAACGCAAUUUAUGUUUAGUAGUUUUGAAAUAGUUACACUGAUAUAAAUAAACACAUCUAAAGAAGUCGUUUUGUCAGCCGUUCUUGCCCGGGGCGUCUUGUAUUGGUCAGAGUUACUAGUACUGUACUUGAAUCAUCUUGAUAUUGGGGGUAUUAUUGUACUUAAUCAUUUGUGUUAUGGUAAUUAAAAUGUUAUAAUUA